rnacentral:rRNA from 1 species
CAGUCGCCGCGGUAAUACGAAGGGUGCAAGCGUUACUCGGAAUUACUGGGCGUAAAGCGUGCGUAGGUGGUGGUUUAAGUCCGUUGUGAAAGCCCUGGGCUCAACCUGGGAAUUGCAGUGGAUACUGGCUCGCUAGAGUGUGUCAGAGGAUGGUGGAAUUCCCGGUGUAGCGGUGAAAUGCGUAGAGAUCGGGAGGAACAUCAGUGGCGAAGGCGGCCAUCUGGGACAAUGCUGACGCUGAGGCACGAAAGCGUGGGGAGCAAACAGGAUUAGAUACCCCUGUAGUCCCUGUCUCUUAUAC